rnacentral:rRNA from 1 species
GCUGGCGGCAGGCUUAACACAUGCAAGUCGAGCGGGGAGAGGUAGCUUGCUACCUGACCUAGCGGCGGACGGGUGAGUAAUGCUUAGGAAUCUGCCUAUUAGUGGGGGACAACAUUCCGAAAGGAAUGCUAAUACCGCAUACGCCCUACGGGGGAAAGCAGGGGAUCUUCGGACCUUGCGCUAAUAGAUGAGCCUAAGUCAGAUUAGCUAGUUGGUGGGGUAAAGGCCUACCAAGGCGACGAUCUGUAGCGGGUCUGAGAGGAUGAUCCGCCACACUGGGACUGAGACACGGCCCAGACUCCUACGGGAGGCAGCAGUGGGGAAUAUUGGACAAUGGGCGAAAGCCUGAUCCAGCCAUGCCGCGUGUGUGAAGAAGGCCUUUUGGUUGUAAAGCACUUUAAGCGAGGAGGAGGCUACUUAGAUUAAUACUCUAGGAUAGUGGACGUUACUCGCAGAAUAAGCACCGGCUAACUCUGUGCCAGCAGCCGCGGUAAUACAGAGGGUGCGAGCGUUAAUCGGAUUUACUGGGCGUAAAGCGUGCGUAGGCGGCUUCUUAAGUCGGAUGUGAAAUCCCUGAGCUUAACUUAGGAAUUGCAUUCGAUACUGGGAAGCUAGAGUAUGGGAGAGGAUGGUAGAAUUCCAGGUGUAGCGGUGAAAUGCGUAGAGAUCUGGAGGAAUACCGAUGGCGAAGGCAGCCAUCUGGCCUAAUACUGACGCUGAGGUACGAAAGCAUGGGGAGCAAACAGGAUUAGAUACCCUGGUAGUCCAUGCCGUAAACGAUAUGUACUAGCCGUUGGGGCCUUUGAGGCUUUAGUGGCGCAGCUAACGCGAUAAUUAGAUCGC